rnacentral:rRNA from 1 species
AACGAACGCUGGCGGCAGGCUUAACACAUGCAAGUCGAACGGGUGUAGCAAUACAUCAGUGGCAGACGGGUGAGUAACACGUGGGAACCUUCCUCGUAGUACGGAACAACUCAGGGAAACUUGUGCUAAUACCGUAUACGUCCGAGAGGAGAAAGAUUUAUCGCUAUGAGACGGGCCCGCGUCGGAUUAGGUAGUUGGUGGGGUAACGGCCUACCAAGCCUACGAUCCGUAGCUGAUCUGAGAGGAUGAUCAGCCACACUGGGACUGAGACACGGCCCAGACUCCUACGGGAGGCAGCAGUGGGGAAUCUUGGACAAUGGGCGCAAGCCUGAUCCAGCCAUGCCGCGUGAGUGAAGAAGGCCUUAGGGUUGUAAAGCUCUUUUGGCAGGGACGAUAAUGACGGUACCUGCAGAAUAAGCCCCGGCAAACUUCGUG